ensembl:lncRNA
GGGCAACCACAGGGAAGGGGAAGGUUGAAGGGGAACUGCUCACAAGGGAAACGAGCCUUCUUUACCAACAUGGAUGGCCAACAUGCACACCAAAUGAUGCUGACCACAAGAAAGAUAAAAAGCACAACCAAAAUGAGCCAUCACUCCAGGCUCAGGACAAUUGGUAAAAUAAGAAUAACUGCAGCUCAGCUGUGAGCACAAGACCCACUGCAAGUUACCAGUCUAGAGCUAAGCUCUGGGCAACCUGAAGUAGACUGGCCACACAUCUGGAGAUGCCAGGUCAGCCCAAUGGAGGGGGGGAGGAAAUCAGAACUAAAAGGACUGCAGUUUGGCCAAAAAGGACUGAAAUUUCCCAAUGAGGAUCAAUUCUUUUUCAACUGCAGUGCUGGGAUCAAACCUAGAGCCUCGAGCAUCCAAGCUUCCGGUGUUGACGGAGACUCUCAUAUUGGUUCUUCAAUCCCAUGGCAUCCUCAUCCCCUAGCAGUGACCCCUCUGACACAGAGGACUGCAAUUCUGAAACCAAAUGCAUGCUGAGCCUCUCUGGGGGCUGUCUCCCCAGUGAAGAGCCCUCGUCCUGUGAGGACAUCAUCCUUCCUGAAGACACGACUCCCAGUGUGUGUUCUUCAGGUGACCUCAUCUCUGCUAUCCAAGGCAGGUGGGGGCCUGAAGGGAACAAGAGAUGGCCCAACCUAUGAAAGCUACUUCAGGAUGACCCACAGCAGAUCUACAACCUAGGUAUCACUGUGCCCUGGGCUGACGACAAUGGCUUUGAAGAAUCAGCUGCUCAUGAAAAUCUACAGAGGCAAAGAUGAAACAAAAUGUACUGAAGGAAAACUGGAUGGUCUUGUGAAACUGCUGAAGACAUUUCAGGGCUUUUACAUGGAUGAUGAAGAAAUCCAAAAGGAAGACAAUGAAAAUCCCCAAAAAAUUCGGAAGAAGAAGAAAGAUGAGGACCAGGAUUGCCUCAAACUUACUCUGGCCAAAGACCUCAGGCUGAGCAGCUGUUCCCCUGCCCAGCUCACUCAUUAGGGACAUGAGGCAUGUCUAGACUCGCCCAUGUGCAAACCAUCAGGAAACACAGAUGUCAUCCCAGUCCCAAAGCUGCCUGUGACACUGAAGGGACAGGAACGUGCCGAGGUGAACAGAGCUGCCUCCCAGAGAGCAAGGGCCAGGCCCAGUGGGGAGCAGACGGCAGUCGAGGGGAGCAGCAGCCACAAGUCAGGGAUCACAGAGCCCUCCACCUCCUCAGCACACCCAGAGGAUGACGCCCCCAGACCACAGAGAACCUGUUUGCUCAUGGGGCAGGCCUUCCACCGGCUGCUCGAGAGUCCUUUCUAAGAGAUGUAGAAGACAGGAUCCUAAGCAGGACACCAAGAGCCGCCCUCAGCAGGCUCCAAAGAGAAGUUGAUGUCUUAGAGGCAAAUGGAUCCAGCCUGAAGGACCCCUUGAGCAGUUAGGACCACCCCACAUCCCCAUAUUUCCCCCCACUAUGUGCUACCCCAUCAUCCCAAAUACACAUAGUUGAUAUUUCUCAAUAAAGCACAUGUUCUUGUCAUCUG